GGCGCAGGUGUAGUGGUUUGAGUGUUGGGCUAUUACUCUGGAGACCAGGGUUCAAAUCCCUGCUCGGUCA